rnacentral:ncRNA from 1 species
GUUGAAUUUGACUUUGGUUUAUUUUUAAUUAUUAUAAUUUUAUACAUGUUAGGUUUAGUUAUAUAUAUACGUUUUUACUAUUUAAUAUAUAAUAUGUUUGUAUAAAUUAUAAAUAUAUUAUGUUUAAUUAUUAAAUGAUAUUUAAUAUAAUUUUUUUUUUAAGAUACUCAGUAUAUUUAUUUAUACAAUGAAUGGAAGUUUCAUAUAGAAAUUAUAUGUUUAUGAUUGGAUAAAUUUGUGCCAGCAUCUGCGGUUAUACAAAUAAUUUAAAUUAAAAAUGGUUAGUUAAAAAUAAAGUGAAAUAGUGGUUAAAUUUGGAGAAAAAUAUAGAAUUUGUUUAGAGGUAAAGUUUUAUUUAAAUUAAUUUGUUGUUUUAUUAUUUUCUUUAUUGUGUAUACUUUGAAAAUUUAAAAAUAAACUAGGAUUAGAUACCCUAUUAUUUUAUUUUGUAAAAAUUAUGUUUUACUUAAGUAUUAUGAAGGAUGUUGUUAAAUGAUGAUAGUGUUGAUAUAUUUAAAACUUAAAAAGUUUGGCGGUUUUACAUAUCCAGUUAGGGGAGUUUGUUAAUUUAAAUUGAUAAUCCUCAUUUUAAACUUACUUUUUUUUGUAUUAUGUACAGUUUGUAUAUUGCUGUCGGUAGUUUAUGUUUUGAGAAUUUAUUAAAAGACUGAUGAAUAUUAUUUAUUUUUAUGUCAAGUCAUAAUGCAGCUUAUAAAAAAGGUUUAAUGAACUACUAUAAUUAAUUUUAUUAAAUUCCGGAUUUUAGAAAUUAUAUUUUAUUAGAAAGGUGGACUUAAUAGUAAUAGAUUUAGAUAAUUAGUAUGUAUUGUUGAAUAAUGGUUUUGUAAAGUGUACAUAUCGCCCGUCACUCUUGUUUAUAAAUAAGAUAAGUCGUAACAUAGUAGAGGUAAUGGAAAUUGUUUCUGGUUAAGA